UGCCUAAACCCUGCCUUCUCGGCAGGGCAUGGCACUAAUACCCAACGAAGACACUGAACCUCGCGUUCAGCAGCUCUUCGUUGGGCUAUAUCCCGAAAGGGGUAUAGGGCCGUAAGGCCU
rnacentral:sRNA from 12 species